CAGAUGUGGCACCUCCGAGGCAUUGCCCGGGGUGUGGAAGAUGGCUCUACUGCAGCAGGGGCCCUGGGUGACAUUGCACUUUAUCAGCUGUUAUCAGCCCCUUUAAUUACUAACAGCCCUGCCAGCUCCACGGGACUCUGGUGCCAGUGAAGGGGGAGAUGGCAGGCUGAAAGAAGAAAGAGAUGGACUGCUUAAGGAAAUAAUAUCUAAUGAGCCAUGCUGGAAACACCGUCAGAAGUAAAGAGCUGGAUUUGUAGGACUGCAAGAGCAGAGGAGUGCUGGCUGCUUUCUUUUUGCACGCAGAGGUACAUUAUGAUUUUAAAUGAAUCCAGAGCAGCUGAGGCAUUUUUGGACUAAAAGCCAACAUCGCCAUGACCAUCUUAAUCAUCCCCUUGUAAAAUGAGCAGCCAUAUGCGUGAAAUCAAGCCAUACAUUUUAUGGAAUAUCUCUUGUUUGCUGGACAAGUACUUGGACUGAAGUUUAUUUUCUCAGGACUUCAACUCCUGAAAUAUAAACCUUGUAACCUUUCUGUACAUAAAACCAGAAUUUAGAGCAGGGAGGGGGGAAUCCCCCCCACUUUACACAGCGUGGCUUUGCCUCUUGCAUAUCUUUGCACUUGACAAAGUCUGGUGCUAUAAUGGACACUGUAAACAAGGAGUUCUUUACAAUUCUGCAUGAACAGCCCUUGUCAUGCUGGGGAAGAAGGUUUAAACAAAGGUGGCAUGGCUUAUAAUAUUUGUUAGUGAGAUAUCAAAAUAUUUAUGUGCACAGUAUUUCUUCACUAUACUUUUCAAAUGACUGAGGUUAAUCAAAAGGAGCCUGUUCCUUCUCUUAAACAAAAUCUCGUCCCAAGAUGCCUGUUCCUCAGUCCCCAGAAAGAAAUAUCAUAUUUCCUUGCUGGUUGUUUCUCAGCUAACUGAUUCAAUAUUAGAGGCAAUGUAACACUGUUUUAAGAUUUCUCAGGGCUGGAGAGUUCCUCUUUGACCCUACCUCUCUCGGGCUGUAGUCCUGCAACAUUUUAUGCAUGCGUUCAGCCAUCUGCAGCAAAGUGAUUCCUCCAGCCUCAGCACGACUGUUCAUGUGCAUCAUUACACACAUGCAUGAGUCUCUGCAGGACUGUGGCCUGAUUGUACUUCAUGUUGAAUCAUAUCCUGUAAUAUAUCAUAUUGUCACUGGUUUAUAUGGCAUGAGUUCCUUAACCUACCUGAGUAAACUGUUAGAAACAUGACAAUGCAUAAAGGCCA